rnacentral:rRNA from 1 species
CCUACGGGGGGCAUCAGUGGGGAAUAUUGCACAAUGGGGGAAACCCUGAUGCAGCGACGCCGCGUGAAGGAAGAAGGUUUUCGGAUCGUAAACUUCUAUCAGCAGGGAAGAAGAAAGUGACAGUACCUGACUAAGAAGCCCCGGCUAACUACGUGCCAGCAGCNGCGGUAAUACGUAGGAGGCAAGCGUUAUCCGGAAUCACUGGGUGUAAAGGGUGCGUAGGCGGUAGGGCAAGUCAGAUGUGAAAGCCCGGGGCNCAACCCCGGGAUGGCAUNUGAANCUGUCUUACUAGAGUGCAGGAGAGGAAAGCGUAAUUCCUAGUGUCGCGGUGAAAUGCGUAGAUAUGAGACAGAACACCAGUGGCGAAGGCGGCUUUCUGGACUGUAACUGACGCUUAGGCACGAAAGCGUGGGGAGCGAACAGGAUUAGAUACCCUUGUAGUC